rnacentral:tRNA from 1 species
UUUGUUAAAGUUUCACACUUAAAAAUUUGAUUUUUAAAUAGAUUUAAAUAUCUAACAAAA